rnacentral:rRNA from 1 species
UACGGAGGGGGCAAGCGUUGUUCGGAAUCAUUGGGCGUAAAGGGCACGUAGGCGGCCUGUCAAGUCGGGUGUGAAAUCCCUCGGCUCAACCGAGGAACCGCACUCGAUACUGUCGGGCUAGAGUCCGGGAGGGGAUGGUGGAAUUCCCAGUGUAGCGGUGAAAUGCGUAGAUAUUGGGAAGAACACCGGUGGCGAAGGCGGCCAUCUGGGCCGGAACUGACGCUGAGGCGCGAAAGCUAGGGGAGCGAAUGGG